rnacentral:rRNA from 1 species
UACGUAGGGUGCAAGCGUUAAUCGGAAUUACUGGGCGUAAAGCGUGCGCAGGCGGCUUUGCAAGACAGAUGUGAAAUCCCCGGGCUCAACCUGGGAACUGCAUUUGUGACUGCUUGGCUAGAGUGCGGCAGAGGGGGAUGGAAUUCCGCGUGUAGCAGUGAAAUGCGUAGAUAUGCGGAGGAACACCGAUGGCGAAGGCAAUCCCCUGGGCCUGCACUGACGCUCAUGCACGAAAGCGUGGGGAGCAAACAGG